CCUACGGGGGGCAGCAGUGAGGAAUAUUGGUCAAUGGCCGGAAGGCUGAACCAGCCAAGUCGCGUGAGGGAAUAAGGCCCUAUGGGUCGUAAACCUCUUUUGUCAGGGAGCAAAGGCGUCCACGUGUGGACGAAAGGAGAGUACCUGAAGAAAAAGCAUCGGCUAACUCCGUGCCAGCAGCCGCGGUAAUACGGAGGAUGCGAGCGUUAUCCGGAUUUAUUGGGUUUAAAGGGUGCGUAGGCGGAGUGUCAAGUCAGCGGUAAAAUUUCGGGGCUCAACCCCGUCGUGCCGUUGAAACUGACACCCUUGAGUGAGUGAGAAGUAAGCGGAAUGCGUGGUGUAGCGGUGAAAUGCAUAGAUAUCACGCAGAACGCCGAUUGCGAAGGCAGCUUGCCGGCGCUCAACUGACGCUGAGGCACGAAAGUGCGGGUAUCGAACA
rnacentral:rRNA from 1 species